ensembl:lncRNA
GCCACUGUAAAUACACAGCAACUCUACUGUUAUCUUGUUUUUGUUUUUGUCGGCUGUGCUGGGUCUUCGUUGCUGCAUGGACUUUUUCUCUAGUUGGAGAGAGCAGGGUCUACUCUUCAGUUGCGAUGUGCAGGCUUCUAAUUGUGAGGGUUUCUCUUGUGGAGCACGUGGGCUCCACAGCACAGGCUCAAUACUUGGGGCACUCAAGCUUAGUCGCUUCACGGCAUGUGGGAUCCUCCCGGAUCAGGGAUCAAACCUGCAUUAGCAGGUGGAUUCUUUACCACUGAACCAGCAGGGAAGCCCUACCCUCAUUUUAAAGAUGAGAAACUUCAGUUUAUGGACAUUGGCCUGAAGUGUCUUGGCUAGUAAAACCUGGAGACUGGCUGCAGAGUCAGUCCUAUCCACCUCACUUCCUAGCCUCUGUGUACAAGCAAUGGCAUUUUACACUCAAACUCCACCCAAGGAAGGGAGUGGGCAGGUGGCUUCACUCUACAGAUAACACAGCCCAGGCUGAGAUAGGAAGUGAAGGCAAAGCUGGGACAUACAUGAACACUGGGCCAAGGACUCCGGAACUUGGGCCUUCCCCCCCUGCCCCCCAGUCUCUCAUGCCUGCUGAGCAGCCAGGCCGGGUGUGUGCCCACAGCCCCUCCCAUGGCACUCUGAACUCCUUGAGGGUGGGGCUAGACUUAGCUAGCUUGGCUUCCCCUCCAUCUGCUCCUGAGCACAAUGAAAGGUGGAUUUAUAGGAAAAGGAAGCAGGACUGAUUUCAUGGUUUGGCUGUGCCAGUCUUAGUUGCUGCACUCAGGAUCUUCGAUCAUUGUUGCAACAUGCAAGUACCAGAGGAUACAGCGGGGCCGGUGGGGCCUACGAGACCUCGACUGAGAUGCUCAAAGGUCAAGGCGCAGACAAGCAGUAGGAGCUCAGCACGACUAAGCCUGAGUCGCAGAAGACGAGGCGCAUGCGCACUGGGGACAGCUCCAAGAGGGCCCUGUGG